GGAAGCAUCAUUGCGUGCUGGCAGACAUCAGAGCGUAUCCCCGUCUUCCAGAAUCCCUGGCUACUCAACUCGACAGUCACUUCACGUCUCAUCGUGUUCUUCUGCCGGAUUUUCUGCAGUGCUUCCUCUCUCUGUGAUAAUUUCUGUUUAUCAGCUUGUUUGACUUUGGGACUGUUAGCUAGCAGGUGACGCAGCUUCACAUAAC
rnacentral:lncRNA from 1 species